rnacentral:tRNA from 1 species
GCCAGGGUGGCGGAAUUGGUAGACGCAGCGGACUCAAAAUCCGCCGGUAGUGAUACUGUGAGGGUUCGAGUCCCUCCCCUGGUA